UGCUGCCCGUGUCACCUCUAGAGCUGCCCAUGAGCUGAUAGAGGAUCACAGCCUCCUCUCGGGGGUCCUGCACAGCUUAGAGAAAAGGACCUGCUGCACAGGAAGUGGCACAGUAAUGGAUUUGAGCUGUCUAGAACGUUAUUUCUCCUCCCCUUGCCUCUCCCUGACAAAAAAAAAAAUCUCUUCUGCAGGCACAGAGUGCCCUGACAGGUUCAGGCAAGUGCACCAAAAGUGCCCUAGAAUAUGGUCCCCCGUAGGAGAUGGACCAGCUGCUGGUUUCUGGAGAACAAGGUGAUAAAUAAAAUGAUUUCCUUACUCCAUCCUCUAUGGCUAAUAAAUUUAGGAGACAAGAGAGAAAACAGGAAUCGGUCCCAGAUGCUGCUGUUGAGAUGGAUAUAUGAUCUAUCUAUCUAUCUGUAUAUAGAUAUAUGUAUAUACGUAUAUCUGUGUAGUGAUAAUAAUGGGAUUUUUUAUGAUACGUUGCUUCACCGUUUUAUAUUUUUAAUAAAGUGUGAUUUU